UGCUCGGUGGAGAUUCUUAACAGCUAUGGUACCCUGACCAUACGAAGGUAGCAUAAUCAAUUGCCCCCUAAUUAGGGGCUGGAAUGAACGGUUCGACGAAAUUGUAACUGUCUCUUUUUAUUUCUAUCGAAUUUGUCUUUAGGGUGAAAAGACCCUAAUUUUAUUAUAAGACAAGAAGACCCUAAAAGCUUAGCUGAAUUUGUGGGUAUACCGGAUAAGAUUUAGUUGGGGCAACUCUAGAAUAUUAAUCUUCUAGUAGAAUAUAAAUUAUUCAUAUUUGUGACCGUGAUAAAUUUAUCACAUCAAAGGUGAAGUUACUUUAGGGAUAACAGGGCACUUUCUUUUUUGAGUACAUAUCUAAUAAGAAGUUUGCUACCUCGAUGUUGGAUUAAGGUUUCCUAAGGGUGCAUCCGCUCUCAAGGUUGGCUUGUU
rnacentral:rRNA from 1 species